rnacentral:misc_RNA from 1 species
GAUGAAGAACGUAGCGAAAUGCGAUACGUAGUGUGAAUUGCAGAAUUCAGUGAAUCAUCGAAUCUUUGAACGCACAUUGCGCCCUUUGGUAUUCCAAAGGGCAUGCCUGUUCGAGCGUCAUUUGUACCCUCAAGCUUUGCUUGGUGUUGGGCGUCUUGUCUCCAGUCCGCUGGAGACUCGCCUUAAAGUCAUUGGCAGCCGGCCUACUGGUUUCGGAGCGCAGCACAAGUCGCACUCUUUUCCAGCCAAGGUCAGUGUACAACAAGCCUUUUUUCAACUUUUGACCUCGGAUCAGGUAGGGAUACCCGCUGAACUUAAGCAUAUCAAUAAGCGGAGGA